UGAAAUAUCUGUUUGGUGAUUACACCAGUAUUUGGUCAAAUUAAAUUAAAACAUACUGGGUCAAACUAAAUUAAAACAAAGUAGUUUCUUUUUUUUUACAAGUGUGUAAAAAGUGUAAAUAGAUAUAUUAUGAUAAUUUUUUGCUCAAAUACUCAGGAAUGUUGUAGUGUUCCCUUUUUAAAAUCUAUGAUUGUAACAGUUGGUGUAAUUUUGUUUUCAGGUACAUACUGUCCCAAUGUUAUGAUUGUUGUUAUAUAUCAUGUGAUAUUGCUCAAAUUUUCUCUGAAAGCUGUUAAGUUUCUCAUUAAUAUACACUGUUUUAUAUUGUUUGAGUUUUGUCUUGAAGAAUUUUAUUUUUGUUUAA
rnacentral:lncRNA from 1 species